AGCAAUGUCAUACCCAAAUGGACCAGAAAGGAGCCUCAGCCUGAUACCCAGGAGUUGUUAUGCCAUCAGUCUGACUUCUGCAUGGCAGGAGCUGCGUCCUGGUCACAUUCAUGGAUGAUUUCAGCUCCCAAGUGAUAGUAUUACAGAUGUGUGCCACCAUUCCCAGCUCAUGUGGAAUCAAACUAAAGGCUUCACGAAUCUUAGGCAAGCACUCUACUAACCCGAGUGCCUGCUUUUUGACUGCAAUGCAUCCCAGGAAGGACAUCACUUAAGAAGAGUUGUGCAGAUGAACAUUUCUGGGUUUGGCGUCUUUCAUGUAAUGCACCCAAGAAACAGUCAAGUCAUGUUCAAUGCUAGCUCUAAUUUACUGUUGAGAAGUCUUCUGUUGUUGGGGGUACUGCAUUUUUACUUAUUUUUUUUAAUAAAGCGUAUUAGACAAGGCUGGGAUAUUAGGAUGCAGGAGAAUGAGGCUUCAAAAGACAAGCUCCACUUCUAACAGAGAACACUAGGUAUAUGGGUUGUUGUUCUGAGGCUUUGAACCCAGGACCUUGUGUGUGGUAGGGGAGUGCUCUACCACAUCCUGUGUGUGUGUGUGAUACUGGAUUUAUUUAACCAUCCAUCUUCCAUAGGGUUUUGGGGUUGUUUCUGGUCUGUGGCCAUGGUAGAGAUUUUUAAGAAACCCCUUUUCUGGAACUGAGAGAAUGUGAGAUCCAAUCCAGUAACAAUUUAGAGGGUUUGGACUUCUCUUACCAGCCCCACCCAAUUGAUGCGUAUGGAUUAGUCAUGCUUUACAAGGGCACACAGGCUGUUUCCUAAAAUAGAAUUCAUCCUAAACUGUAAAUAACGCUAAGAACAAGCCAGGCACUGUGGAGCAUGUCUGUUAAUCUCAGCACUUGGGAUGAAAGUCCCUAAUCAUCCUGGGCUACACAGAACCUGUGCUUAUAGUUCCAGCUACUUUGAGGAUUAGGUGGAGGUUCACUUGAGUUUGGGAGUUCUAGACCAGCCAGGACAGUAUAGCAAGAUCCCCCACCUCAAAAAAAAAAAUAAAAUCAGGCAGACUGGUGGUGAUGUAGCUUAGGAAAACAAUGCUGAGGCCACGUGUGAGGCUCCAGGUUUAAGACACACACACACACACACACACACACACACACACACACACACACACACACACCCUUAGUGAUCUGUCAUUGAAAACCUUCCCACAAUUAACACAGAAACCCACAGCUAGACCAUGAGCAGAGAGUGAGAGGUUUUGGACCACUUGGUCUUAAAUGGGAUGUCUUUAUCAUGCUCCACCCGCCCAGGAUCAGGGAUCUAUUCGGAGGAGGAGGCAGACAGAUUGUAUUAGCAGGAAGUGGUGGACUCCAAGGGAAGCAGGAAAGUGGAAGUGAUUCCAAGGAAACAGUCUUCCAGACACAAGAUGGAGGUAAAUAUGAACUCAAAAACUGCAAUUGCACCUGCAAGACCUGCACCAGUUCAAGCCCACCACUGAAAAGCAGAAGUAGAUGCAAAGUUCCAUCCAUAACCAAGAUUCCAUUUGCAAUUGCUACCUGCUAGGAACAGGAAAAUCAGUUUUCUCCAAUGGAAUGUCGUAUCACUCCCACCCCAAGCCCAGGAGUAGUUGGCCAACACAAAAUGGACUCCAAGUUUUUUGUUUUUCUGUGGGAUUUUUGUUUCAUUAUGACAUUUUGUCUUAUUGUUAUUUAUUUGCUUGCUUUGAUUUUGAUUUUUGAGGUUUUUUUUUUUUUUU
rnacentral:lncRNA from 1 species